rnacentral:rRNA from 1 species
UGUGAUGCCCUUAGAUGUUCUGGGCUGCACGCGUGCUACACUGACACAUACAGCAAGUAUCCUCCAGCUCCGAAAGGUAGUUGGUAAUCAGCAAUAUGUGUCGUGAUGGGGAUAGAUCAUUGGAAUUAUUGAUCUUGAACGAGGAAUUCCUAGUAAGCGCACGUCAUCAUCGUGCGUUGAUUAAGUCCCUGCCCUUUGUACACACCGCCCAUCGCUCCUACCGAUUUCGAGUGAUCCGGUGAGCCUUUCGGACCGCGGCGUUUACGUCGUGGAAAGUCAUGCAAAUCACAUCACUUAGAGGAAGGAGAAGCUGUAACAAGGUUUGC